rnacentral:rRNA from 1 species
UACAGAGGUCUCAAGCGUUUGUUCGGAUUCAUUGGGCGUAAAGGGUGCGUAGGCGGCGCGGUAAGUCGGGUGUGAAAUCUCGGAGCUUAACUCCGAAACUGCAUUCGAUACUGCCGUGCUUGAGGACUGGAGAGGAGACUGGAAUUUACGGUGUAGCGGUGAAAUGCGUAGAUAUCGUAAGGAAGACCAGUGGCGAAGGCGACGUCUUUGGCCUGUAACUGACACUGAGGCGCGAAAGCGUGGGGAGCAAACAGG